ACUCCUACGGGAGGCAGCAGUAGGGAAUCUUCCACAAUGGGCGCAAGCCUGAUGGAGCAACACCGCGUGAGUGAAGAAGGGUUUCGGCUCGUAAAGCUCUGUUGUUAAAGAAGAGCACGUAUGAGAGUAACUGUUCAUACGUUGACGGUAUUUAACCAGAAAGUCACGGCUAACUACGUGCCAGCAGCCGCGGUAAUACGUAGGUGGCAAGCGUUAUCCGGAUUUAUUGGGGCGUAAAGAGAGUGCAGGCGGUUUUCUAAGUCUGAUGUGAAAGCCUUCGGCUUAACCGGAGAAGUGCAUCGGAAACUGGAUAACUUGAGUGCAGAAGAGGGUAGUGGAACUCCAUGUGUAGCGGUGGAAUGCGUAGAUAUAUGGAAGAACACCAGUGGCGAAGGCGGCUACCUGGUCUGCAACUGACGCUGAGACUCGAAAGCAUGGGUAGCGAACAGGAUUAGAUACCCUGGUAGGAUAGCG
rnacentral:rRNA from 1 species